rnacentral:rRNA from 1 species
UACGAAGGGGGCUAGCGUUGCUCGGAAUCACUGGGCGUAAAGGGUGCGUAGGCAGGUCUUUAAGUCAGGGGUGAAAUCCUGGAGCUCAACUCCAGAACUGCCUUUGAUACUGAAGAUCUUGAGUUCGGGAGAGGUGAGUGGAACUGCGAGUGUAGAGGUGAAAUUCGUAGAUAUUCGCAAGAACACCAGUGGCGAAGGCGGCUCACUGGCCCGAUACUGACGCUGAGGCGCGAAAGCGUGGGGAGCAAACAGG